rnacentral:lncRNA from 1 species
GGGAGACCUCUCUCCCAGACCUCUCUGUUCAAGCAGAUGCUUUAAACAGAAGACAAGUGGUGUCAGGAAGAACAGCUGCUGAUAAUUGGCUACAGGACUUUCUUACCAACAUGCCGAUCAUCGGCAACUUUCCAGGUUUAUUAGCAGAACCUCGAAAGAGAAAGCCCACCUGGAACUUCUCAUGACAACAUCAAUAAACUGUCAAAGCACAAAGGAUUUGGAGAUUCAAGCUCCUAACCUCAAGAGAAAUAUGGAGGUGUAUCUUGCUUUUAAACAACAAGAUGCUGAUCUCAUUCAUAUAUGCAUAGGAGGUUUUUGGAAAUGGUCAUACUGAAGUCAUGAAGAUCACUUGUGAGGUGACAUAUUAUUUGGCGUAAGAAAUGAUAUCAGAAGAAAAGUCAUAAUGUGAGUAACAAUUCAGAUUUUCAGGUCGUAGCUUUGAUAUAUCAAAUAACCCAUUGAACUUUUUAGUAGUUUAGUAAUUAAUUAAAGAUCAAUACAGAUUUUGCUUCAAGGAGCUGAAUGGGAUAAAUGACUACUAAAGAAAGAGGGAACAGAAUUCUGCAAGGUGACCUAUUGGAAACGAUAUUCUGAAUGCAGAAAAUAUCCAUAAUUGUUAAAAUGUGUGCAGAGUAGGCAAUUUAGAUAACUAGGUGCAUAUAAUUUCACAGACAGUUAUUUCAUUUCUAACUGUAAUGGAAAAAAAUUGUUUUCAUUGAAUCUGAAGUCUAAGAGUACAUGGGCAUAAUCUAUGUCUUUA